rnacentral:rRNA from 1 species
AAAUUGAAGAGUUUGAUCAUGGCUCAGAUUGAACGCUGGCGGCAGGCCUAACACAUGCAAGUCGAGCGGAAACGAGUUAACUGAACCUUCGGGGAACGUUAACGGCGUCGAGCGGCGGACGGGUGAGUAAUGCCUAGGAAAUUGCCCUGAUGUGGGGGAUAACCAUUGGAAACGAUGGCUAAUACCGCAUAAUGCCUUCGGGCCAAAGAGGGGGACCUUCGGGCCUCUCGCGUCAGGAUAUGCCUAGGUGGGAUUAGCUAGUUGGUGAGGUAAGGGCUCACCAAGGCGACGAUCCCUAGCUGGUCUGAGAGGAUGAUCAGCCACACUGGAACUGAGACACGGUCCAGACUCCUACGGGAGGCAGCAGUGGGGGAAUAUUGCACAAUGGGCGCAAGCCUGAUGCAGCCAUGCCGCGUGUAUGAAGAAGGCCUUCGGGUUGUAAAGUACUUUCAGCAGUGAGGAAGGUGGUGUAGUUAAUAACUGCAUCAUUUGACGUUAGCUGCAGAAGAAGCACCGGCUAACUCCGUGCCAGCAGCCGCGGUAAUACGGAGGGUGCGAGCGUUAAUCGGAAUUACUGGGCGUAAAGCGCAUGCAGGUGGUUUGUUAAGUCAGAUGUGAAAGCCCGGGGCUCAACCUCGGAAUUGCAUUUGAAACUGGCAGACUAGAGUACUGUAGAGGGGGGUAGAAUUUCAGGUGUAGCGGUGAAAUGCGUAGAGAUCUGAAGGAAUACCGGUGGCGAAGGCGGCCCCCUGGACAGAUACUGACACUCAGAUGCGAAAGCGUGGGGAGCAAACAGGAUUAGAUACCCUGGUAGUCCACGCCGUAAACGAUGUCUACUUGGAGGUUGUGGCCUUGAGCCGUGGCUUUCGGAGCUAACGCGUUAAGUAGACCGCCUGGGGAGUACGGUCGCAAGAUUAAAACUCAAAUGAAUUGACGGGGGCCCGCACAAGCGGUGGAGCAUGUGGUUUAAUUCGAUGCAACGCGAAGAACCUUACCUACUCUUGACAUCCAGAGAAGCCAGUAGAGAUACAGGUGUGCCUUCGGGAACUCUGAGACAGGUGCUGCAUGGCUGUCGUCAGCUCGUGUUGUGAAAUGUUGGGUUAAGUCCCGCAACGAGCGCAACCCUUAUCCUUGUUUGCCAGCGAGUAAUGUCGGGAACUCCAGGGAGACUGCCGGUGAUAAACCGGAGGAAGGUGGGGACGACGUCAAGUCAUCAUGGCCCUUACGAGUAGGGCUACACACGUGCUACAAUGGCGCAUACAGAGGGCAGCAAGCUAGCGAUAGUGAGCGAAUCCCAAAAAGUGCGUCGUAGUCCGGAUUGGAGUCUGCAACUCGACUCCAUGAAGUCGGAAUCGCUAGUAAUCGUGGAUCAGAAUGCCACGGUGAAUACGUUCCCGGGCCUUGUACACACCGCCCGUCACACCAUGGGAGUGGGCUGCAAAAGAAGUAGGUAGUUUAACCUUCGGGAGAACGCUUACCACUUUGUGGUUCAUGACUGGGGUGAAGUCGUAACAAGGUAGCCCUAGGGGAACCUGGGGCUGGAUCACCUCCUUAUACGAUGAU